CCUGCGGCCGCCGGCGCCGGGUCCUGAGGCAUGGCGGGGGCGGGGCCGGGGUAGGCGCGCGCGGAGCAGGCCUGGGGGACCCUUUCCCCAGCCAUGUGAGCCCGGACCGGACAGGCAGAGAUGUGAUGAUGGAUCAUCAUGUUUCCACCAUCAAACCUCGAAGAAUCCAAAACCAAAACGUCAUUCACCGCUUGGAACGCCGGCGGAUCAGUUCAGGCAAGGUGGGCACCCACUGGCAUCAGGUCCGAGAGUUCCACCAGAAUGUCUUCCCCAACUUCACAGUCGUCAACGUUGAAAAGCCUCCUUGUUUCUUGCGUAAAUUCUCACCUGAUGGACGCUACUUUAUUGCUUUCUCCUCAGACCAGACAUCUCUCGAAAUCUAUGAGUACCAGGGCUGCCAGGCUGCCGAGGACCUACUGCAGGGCUAUGAGGGGGAGAUCUUGUCCAAUGGCAAUGACCAGCGGUCAGUCAACAUCCGCGGCCGGCUCUUUGAGCGCUUCUUUGUCCUGCUGCACAUUACCAACGUAGCGGCCAAUGGCGAGCACCUGAACCGGGAGUGCAGCCUCUUCACUGACGACUGCCGGUGUGUCAUCGUGGGCUCUGCAGCCUACCUUCCCGACGAGCCACACCCUCCUUUCUAUGAGGUCUAUCGGAACAGUGAAUCUGUGACCCCCAACCCGCGGUCCCCUCUGGAGGACUAUUCCCUCCACAUCAUUGACCUUCACACUGGCCGCUUAUGUGACACACGCACCUUCAAGUGUGAUAAAGUGGUCCUGUCACACAACCAAGGGCUGUACUUGUACAAAAACAUCCUGGCCAUCUUGUCGGUGCAGCAGCAGACCAUCCAUGUCUUCCAGGUGACUCCUGAAGGCACUUUCAUUGAUGUGAGGACCAUUGGCCGCUUCUGCUAUGAGGAUGACCUCCUCACUGUGUCAGCGGUUUUCCCUGAGGUGCAGCGGGACAGUCAGACAGGCAUGGCCAAUCCUUUCAGAGAUCCCUUCAUCAACUCCCUGAAGCACCGGCUGCUUGUCUACUUGUGGCGCCGGGCAGAACAGGAUGGCAGCGCAAUGGCCAAGAGGCGCUUCUUCCAGUAUUUUGACCAACUGCGGCAGCUGCGCAUGUGGAAGAUGCAGCUUCUGGAUGAAAACCAUCUGUUUAUCAAGUACACCAGUGAGGACGUAGUAACCCUGCGGGUCACAGACCCAUCACAGGCAUCUUUCUUUGUGGUGUAUAAUAUGGUGACAACGGAGGUGAUUGCUGUGUUUGAGAAUACAUCAGAUGAACUCUUAGAGCUCUUUGAGAACUUCUGUGACCUCUUCCGUAAUGCCACCCUGCACAGUGAAGUCCAGUUUCCCUGCUCAGCUUCCAGCAACAAUUUUGCAAGACAGAUCCAGCGCAGGUUUAAAGACACUAUUGUGAAUGCCAAGUACGGAGGGCACACCGAGGCCGUGCGCCGGCUGCUCGGCCAGCUCCCCAUCAGCGCCCAGUCUUACAGCGGCAGCCCCUACCUCGACUUGUCCCUCUUCAGCUACGAUGACAAGUGGGUGUCGGUCAUGGAGCGGCCCAAGACUUGUGGAGACCACCCCAUCAGGUUCUAUGCCCGGGACUCUGGUCUACUCAAGUUUGAGAUCCAGGCGGGCUUGCUGGGCCGCCCCAUCAACCACGCCGUGCGACGCCUUGUUGCCUUCACCUUCCAUCCUUUCGAGCCUUUUGCUAUUUCCGUGCAGAGGACUAAUGCUGAGUAUGUUGUCAACUUCCACAUGCGACACUGCUGCACGUAGGUGCCUCACCAGAGCCAGGCUAUCUGGGCUUCCAGGACUUCGCCCCCUUCAUAUCUCAGUGGACUGCCAAGCAAAAGCUCCUCACUACCAGCUGUGUGGUUCCAGACUCGUAAACCUCAGGUGGGAGAGCCGGAGAGAGGAGCGAGGGUGGCUCAGCUAAUGGAGUUUUUUAUUGUAUACGAAAAACUACUGGUUGACUGAGAGGCCUCUUGCUUUUUCCUCUGGGAAUGCCCAGCAUUAAUUAAGUCCAUUUAGUUUUUGUUUUAUUUUGCAUUUUAUUGCCAUGAAGAUGAGAGCAUUAUGCCUUUACCCACUUCCUGUCACUUCUUUGGCAUUAUGGGCUGCAGCCUGAAGCAGGAUUUGAGCACCUACUAUGAGUCCGGUAGAUGCUGUGCCACGAUGUGAAGGAUGAGGAAAGAAAUGAAAUAAAGAGAAUUAUAAUGCAAAACGGUUGCUUGAUGGGACCUGAAGACUUGGCAGAGUGGAAGGAGCCUGGAGGGUGAAGUUGCUCAGGCCUCAGUGUGAAGCCUGGCCCUGCGGCUCAUUAGCUGUGUGACUGUGGGCUGAUUUCCUAGCGUUUCUGAGGCUAAUAUGUGCUUCCCUCCCCGUUAGUCAUACAUUCCCUUGGUCGUAUCUUAGGUCUUUUCUUCACCUCUAACUACCAUCCCUGAAGUCUCAAUUUAGUACACUCCCCUCUGACCCACCUCACCUUGCUUUACUACCUCCACAGACGGUCUUUGACCUCACUGAAGCCUCCACCCCCUGCCCAAUCUGGACCAGUAGGGAAGUUAAACUGCUCCAGCUGAAACACCCCACAACGCAGUGGCUUGACCAACAUAGCAGUUUCUCUCUCAGGGAACAGCACAGGGCAGAUGUGCACAGUCAGUGAGUGCUUCUGCCACACACAGCCCUUCAGGGACCCGAGUCCUGUGGCAUCCUCCUGGAUUGAGCUGGGGAGAGGGUGGUGGAAGGGUGUGGAGGAGGCUCUGCCUGGUCUUAAUGCCCCUGUCCAUUAGGGGCACACAUCGCUGCCGCUCAUGUUGGAGGGAUCGUAAUCACUUGGCCACUUAGAACAAACUAGAGAACCUGGGAAAUGUGUGCCUGGCCUGCCAGGUGCCAGGAGUCCUCUCGUGUUCACAUGCGGGGGAAUGAGUUUGGUGGACAGCUGGCUGUCGCCUCCCCUCAGGUCCUCUCCUCUUUCCUUAUUCAGCCCGGGUUGUAUAUCGUCUAUCGCUGUAGUCAGUGUGUCGCAAUUGCCCUUAACUUCCUUGUUGCUCCACCUCCUCCAUGCUAAUUUAGAAAAACUGCAACUCUACACGUGUCUGUGUCUGAACAGCUGGAAAUUGCUGCAGAAAACCCACGUCUGUUCUUCAGUUCAGGACCACAAGCCUAAAGUGGACACUCAAGACUGCUGGGCAAUCCUCAUAUCCUUUCCUUGUUUGUUUCCUUUCCCAUUCCCUGAACUUGCUGUUUUACACUUUUACCUCCCUUCAAAACCCCUCCUCCCAUUUCUCACCCAUCACCUGCCACCUGCUUCGUGGCAGAAGUGAAACCAUCGGGUGGGAAUCCCCUCACCUUCCCCCAUCAGCCACAUGACUGCAUCUGUGCUCCUUCUCUGCCCUUCUGAAUGAGAUGUCUCUGCUUCUAUAAAAGGCCAGCUUCUCCACCUGUUCACUGAAGCCUGUGUCUUUCUCGCUUCUUGCGGUCUUUGCUUCUGUGAUUAUUUUCUCUCCUACAUCAUCUUUCUUUUGAUGGGCCAUUUCCAUUGGCAUAUCGAUAAGCUCUGUGAUCUUCUUUCUUUAAAAACUGCUUUGACUCCAAUUUCCCCUUGAGUUACUGCCCAUUUCUCUGCUGUUCUUCACAGAAAAACUUCUUGAAAGACUUGUCUAAAUUAAAUGUUUUCACUUCCCCAAAUCCACUCCAGAUAGGUUUCUGUCCCCAUCACUUCACUGAAACUGCAGCUGUCUAGAUCACCAGUGAGUCCUUGUUGCCAAUACAGUGCUCACCUCUUGUCCCUCUUACUUAGCCUCCCAACAUUGGAUGUAACUGAUUUCUCUAUAUAUCAAGAAACACUUGCUUCUCCUGAUUUCCAGGACAGUGCAUGUUUCUGGUUUUCUUCCUCCUUAGUGAUUGUUACUUCUUGGUUUCCUUUGCUGGCUUCUUCUCCUCUACUCUACCUUUCUGUGUUGGAGUGCCCCAGCCCUCAGCCUUGGAUCCUCACCUCUUUUUCUCUAUAUAUUCUCUCUUUAGUUAUUUCAUCCAUUCCCCUGGUUUUAGAUCCUAGCUAUAUGCUGAUGUUUCUCAAAGUUAUAACUUCAGCCCUGACCCCUUCCUUGAGCUCCAAAUUCAUCUAUCCCAUGGCUUACAUGGCGUCUUUGUUUGGGUAUCUCAUAGGCAUUUUGAAACUAGCGUGUUCAAAACAUUGCUCCUGAUUCCCACCCCCACCUCCAACCUGUUUUUCCUCUGAGAUUUCCCAUAUGGCUUCUGGAUCUACCUGUUUACUUGAGCCAAAAACUUAGUAAUUAUUCUUUCUCUUUUUUUCUGUCCCCCUCCUUUCCUUCCACCACCCACAUAUCUGAUUUUGCUCUGAGGAUGUGUCCUGAGCAGUCUGAACCAAUCACAAUAGCCUAUACUCCUUGCUUGUGACUAGAACUAGAAGGGAUUAGUUUAGGUAUAUCAUGUGACUUAAUUCAGGUCAAUGAUACUAUGAGGUAAAGGUUUCUGGGGCUUCCAGGGGAACAUUUCCCUUUUGAAAAUGUCAGUCAGGAAACAUGUAGCUCACAUUUCCACUUUCCAGCACCCUAUGAUCACACUCAAAAAGAAUCAGCCUUAGGAUGAAGCUGACCUUCUGGAUGGCAGAAGGAAGAGGAAAGAACCUGGAUUGUAUAUGACGUAGUUGGUUGACUAGAUCACACAAUGCUGAAACCCACCCUGCACCUGGAUUUCCAGUUCUGUGAGACCGUAUCCUUACUAUUUAAGCCACUUUGAAUUGGAUUAUCUAUUUCUUGCAGUUGAAAGCAAAUUUAUAGAUGCAAAGAGAAAGGCAGGUCCCCUGUGGAGAGUCGUGAAAUUCCUGAUGGCUGGGAACCUUCUUAGAUUCAGUUCCAGUUUCCAUGAGACCCUAUGAUUCCUAUUCUUGGAUUUCUAUAAGAUUCCUGGCUCUCCUAUAGCCCUCGCAGCAUACCUGAGCUGGCCUGACAGUUUCUUGUAACUAAAAGGAUAUAACUAAAAUGGGAGGUAAAAGAACUCAGCCCAUUGAGUACUUGACCCAUGUUACUUUCUCAACCCCUAUGUGUUUGUUUAUAUUAACUUUGUUUCUAAAGGAUUUAAGGCUUCUCUCAGUAAAUCUAGAGUCUUCUCUCCACAAAUGUCCAGUGAAUCUCAAGAAUCUUUGGAAAAACAAGUUCUUUGGAACCAAAAUGUUUAAGAAAAAUAGGGACUUCAGGGGAUCUAUCUUUCCGAUCUAAAUUCUUUCCUGAGCCUGUCUCCUCACCUCCCUCCUCUGCAGGAAGCUGACAUGUCAGCCAUCCGCGGGAAGCUGCUCUGGACCUUUGAGAGAAAGGCUCCAUUUAGAUUUAGCAAAACCCUUUCAUUCAGAGUCCUUGCAGAGAAGCACAGCAUAAAUGAGUGGGAAACCAGCUGCCAUGUCGUAAAGACGCUCAGAUGACCUUCUGGAGAGACCUGUUUAGUGAGGAACUGAGGCUUCCUGCCAAUGGCCAUGUGAGUGAGAGUUUGGAAUGGGAUCUUCCAGGCCUGCCCAGGAUCACUGCAGCCUCAUGAGAAGCCCUGAGGGAGGACCACCCAGGCAAGCCGCGCCCAGAUUCUCGACUCUCAGAAAUUGCGUAAGAUAAAUAUUUUAAGCAUCUGAGUUUGAGGGUAAUUUGUUAUGUAUCGAUAUGUAUUUAACAUUCACAUAAAGAAGGCAUGUUUUGCAAUAUGACACCUUAUAUUUGAAAAAUGCAGUAUUAUCCCCAUUUUAUAAAUAAGGAAACUGACUUCCGAGACAUUAAGCGAUUCACUCAAAGUUUCCUUACUAGUUAACGGCAGGUAAAACUUUAGUCCAGCCUGUGUCAGAAUCCAUUCAAAUCCUGAAUUUGUAUAGAUCUAAACUGGUAUUUUUACUGUUUACCAGAAACAUUAAGAGGAAAUUCUGAUGUUCUUGCGCUUGUGCCUGUAUCUGCCUCUGCCUGAUAGGGCGAUGGCCCAACUAAGGUGUCUUGUUAAAGGUUGAUGAUAUAUAUCUCUCACUGUUCUCAACCCUAGUACGUUAGUUGGCUUAUUUAUUCAUUCAUGUAUUAAACACUUAUUGAGGACCUACAAAGUGCCAGCAACUAGGAAUAUAAGAAUGUGUAAGUCAUAGCCCCAAUGCUGAAUUUCUAGUCUGUGAUGCCUCUGAGUACCUGUCUCCCUCUCUUGAAAGAAAGAUGCCUUGCUGUCUCUCUGGCUCAGCCUUCCCACCAUCACUAAAGCUGCCAGUUAACCAGUCUUUGAGUGUGGCUUCAGGAAGACAGAGCUGCGUGUUGGACUGCUUCUUUGUGGAGCCCACUGCUUCUCCAUGUAACGUUUCAGCACUCUCUGCAGAGAGCACUUACAGCGCCCUGGAGCAGCUGUCCGAAACCGCGUUCGCUCUGGCGGCGGAAGCCGGUUCCAGCUCUUCUCCAUUCCAUUCGCUUCCUGAGACCAGAGAUCUGGUCUCCAGCCACUGGUUCUCUUCCAGGCUUAGAAAUCAACUUUCCGGGAGUGGAAGAAGAGACUGUCUCUUAGCUUUAAUUAAUUGUUGAAAGAAUAGAGAGGAGUCUAUAGUUCUAGAAGGAAAAAAGGGAGGAAUGGAAAUUUUCUGGACAGGGGACAAAGAAGUAAAAGAAAGAUAAUUUUCCAACUCACUCUCUUCACCCUAGUCUUUAAAAGGUUUUGUUGGGUGUUAUGAGGUUUGAAAUCUAUCUUUAGGGAGGGAUGUGUUACUCAAAAGAAAUUGCCUCUAGAUUGUUUUCCCAAGUCAGUCAUUUAAAAAAUAUUUUAAUGUCAUUCUGCUUAAAUUUUUUAAACAGUGAAGUUUACCUGCAAAGUACUUCUCAACUCAGGGUAGGAUAGGGGUAAAUUUGAGGUAGUAAGUGUGUUAGAAUCUUGAGGUAGGUUUCCUUUGAAAAAAACAAGUAGGUAUCAUUUUUAUUGGGAAAAUGAAAAAAUGCGUAAGUUUUCACAUUACAAACUGAGGAGAGUUUGAAAAAAAAUCUGAUGAGGUUAUGCAGAAGACACAGGGAUUCAUGAUUGGGACACAUCCCUUCAAAACCUUGGAGGAACAGGAGAUUUUCCUGGUUAUCAAAUAGGGGGAUGAGUUUUAGAAGGCUGAAAAGCAUUUAGAAGAAUGUUGCGUUUCCUAAAAAGGCAGAAUGAGGAAGCUGGUAGACAAUUCCAGAACAUUCUAUGGGUCUCAUGAAGAGAAGAUUCAGGGAAGGGCAGGCAGCAAGUCCAAGAUCAGGAAAGAUGAGAGACACAAAAUGGACCUGUAACUGCAAAGGUUCCAUUGUCUUCUGAGUUUCUGUUUAUAAUUUUGCAGUGAGUAAUUUUAAGAAGGAAAAAAUCCCCAUAGAACUGAACACAUGCAGAUGAAAACUUAUGAAUGGCAAAAAGAUAUCAAAACAAAAUCAAAUAACACAUGUAUCAAAGGAAUGAUUUCCUUAGUAGAAAACAUUUUUAAAAUUAUAUAUAAUUUUGAUAUUUUUGUUCAUCAAAAGAUGAACAACCCCAAAGAAAAAAUGGGCAAAGAAUGUUAUUAGCAGGAUGUUCAAAGAAAAAAUAAAUACACAUGGUCAACAACUAUAGGAAACAUGCUUAUAAGAUUUACUUUUCACCCAUCAGAUUAGCUAAGGUUAAAAAUGUUCAUUGACCCAGGGUUGUCAAGAAUGUGGGGUGCUCUCACCCACUGUAGGUGGGAGAGUGAGUUAUCAGAUUUCUUGAAAGACAAACAGCAAUGUCUUAGUAAAUAUGCAUAUCUUUUAACCCAGUUAAAUUCUAUGUAUCAAGGCAAAACAUUUGCGUAUGUGAGCAAAGCAUGUGUACGAGGCUAUUUCACUGCAGCUUUUUGAUUAUGAAAAAGUGGAAACUACUAAAUGUGCAUCAAUAGAGGACUAAAUAAAUUAUAAAUGUCCACUAAAUGGGCUCUGAUAUAACUGUUGAAAAUAACGCGCCAGAUCCAUAUGUAUUGAUUUGGAAAACUCUCUGAGACAGACUAAUUGAACAACUGUUUAGUGGGAUGCUAUAUUUUGUAAAAAACUAAACUGAAAUCUAUACUGAAGUUGAAGUCAAUAUAGAUGUAAAUACUUACUCGCUCGUAGCGUCAGAGAACACUUUGAAAGCA